rnacentral:tRNA from 1 species
GCGGCCAUAGUUUAGUGGUAGAAUAAGGGACUGUGGAUCCCUGGACGUGAGUUCGAUUCUCGCUGGCCGCC